UGAAGUGCUGCUAAAAGUGAGAAUUCAUCCACGUUUCGUUUUUUUCCCUUUCUUUCCUUUUUUUUUUUUUUUUUUAAGUAGUUCCAAUUGAUGAUUAUUUAUGCAAUUGUGUCAUGCAAAUGGACGCUCCAUUUUUCCGUGGGCACAAGUGUACCAACACGAAUGGGAGAGCUAAAUCUUUAAUGACGCCUUUGAUCUCGAGAUUGUUUACUUGAUCUCCGGAUCUGCAGUCUGAGGCAGUAGUUUUCCUACUUUGGCUAGAAAAUUGAUUCAAACCGUCCACAGCUCUAGUUUCGACUCUGGAUGAACAGGGUAGAAUUGUGGUAAUGUUAGCCGGCCUUACGGCUUCGUUAACUAGUCUAUAUUUGAUUGGUCAGUUAAAACUUUUAAAACUUUAACACACCUGUAGUCAUGGAGACUAUGACGGAGGCUGCACUGGAGAAUCACGUGUGUAAUUAUAUCUUCGAGUUUCAGUUUUAUUCUACAAUGUAAACAUCAUCCGUCUCAAGAUGAUAAAACUGUUGCGCAGCCUCACAAACUGUAGGCUGCGUUAAUGAAUAAGAGACGCAGCCAACAUGCUGAUCACCAGCAGAUCCGGCGGUUCUGAGCCCUGAGCUGUCAUCAUCGUCGUCGUCAGCUUUUGGUACCGGAUCGCAUUUCCUUAUGCUUUAAUGAAAAAAAUGGAUCAAAACAAUGCAUUGGUUGAAGUUGAAGCAUUUUGGAGAACCGUCCCAUGGAUAACCACACAACAAAACUGAACCUUCGGGAUUGGGCUGAUUAAUGGUGAUGAUCGAUAGAUUCUGAGUGUGUGUGUGCGUGUGUGUGUGUGUGUGUGUGUGUCAAGGAGAAGACUCUUUAUGGAUUAGAGCAACAUCUGUGGAUUUCCUGUGAUCAGCAACAAAGCAGAACUCUGUUCACUCUCCAUCCUGCUUUGAAGUCCCACGUCGCAGAAUGCAGUCAUUGUUCAUCCUGCGCUGCACGCCAUCUCUGUAAUCGGAAAGAUUUCUCUGGACAAGACAAGACGUGUUAUGGCUGUCGCCUGAAGAGAGCAAGGCGAGGAAACCUGUGUGUCCAGAUGAAGGUGGAUUAUUUUACACACUGAAGCAGAACAGACCCUGUCACUGCAGGAGCAAAUUUUGACAAAUCAAAAAUGUCUCUCCCUGUCGGGACAGAGUGAGCAGGGAUCCGAGGAAGUGACUCACCGCACAGGCAGACACACGUGCUCAGGACACACUGCUCUUGUGAGUCAGUAACCACGGGAAUGCCGACAGAAUCGGUUUGAGGCGUUCUGAAGGGGAGAAAUAAAACCCGCUUCUCUGAGCGGCCCGAUUUAAUCCGACCGCGGAUCAGCGCUGAGGGGCUGACAGCAAGUUACACAAUGGCGGCUGGGAUGGAGCCGACAGGUAUCUGCUAUCGGGCGGAGCACACUUUCAUCUCUGUUCAUUUACAAAUGCUUAUUGGUUGCUCUCUACCGCUUUUUGCCCCAAAAAGGGUACAUGUAGGGAGAUUCUGAAAGUUAUCAACACCGACAAAGGUGAAAAAUGCUGUUUUUACACAACGGGUCCAGACCAGAUACGGUGUUUUCCCCUUUAAUCUGAGAAAGUCAUUACUGGCAAUAAAGGGAACGUAAUGAGAGCUGCUGUGAGGGGUCCUCUGCAGGAGCAGCUUCAUUCAGACGUCAGCUUUGAACUUAGUGCGCUGGUAAACAGAGAGUUUAGUGCCUGUGCUUUGAAGCUCAGGGCCUUGGAACUCAUGAAAGGCCGUGAUGUU
ensembl:lncRNA